UAGGGAAUCUUCGGCAAUGGGGGGAACCCUGACCGAGCAACGCCGCGUGAGUGAAGAAGGUUUUCGGAUCGUAAAGCUCUGUUGUUAAGGAAGAACGAGUGUGAGAAUGGAAAGUUCAUACUGUGACGGUACUUAACCAGAAAGGGACGGCUAACUACGUGCCAGCAGCCGCGGUAAUACGUAGGUCCCGAGCGUUGUCCGGAUUUAUUGGGCGUAAAGCGAGCGCAGGCGGUUAGAUAAGUCUGAAGUUAAAGGCAGUGGCUCAACCAUUGUAGGCUUUGGAAACUGUUUAACUUGAGUGCAGAAGGGGAGAGUGGAAUUCCAGGUGUAGCGGUGAAAUGCGUAGGUAUAUGGAGAAACGCCGGUGGCGAAAGCGGCUCGCUGGCCUGUAACUGACGCUGAGGCUCGAAAGCGUGGGGAGCGAACAGG
rnacentral:rRNA from 1 species